rnacentral:rRNA from 1 species
CCCUUUGGGGUGUGACUGCGUACCUUUUGUAUAAUGGGUCAGCGACUUAUAUUCUGUAGCAAGGUUAACCGAAUAGGGGAGCCGGAGGGAAACCGAGUCUUAAUUGGGCGUUAAGUUGCAGGGUAUAGACCCGAAACCCGGUGAUCUAGCCAUGGGCAGGUUGAAGGUUGGGUAACACUAACUGGAGGACCGAACCGACUAAUGUUGAAAAAUUAGCGGAUGACCUGUGGCUGGGGGUGAAAGGCCAAUCAAACCGGGAGAUAGCUGGUUCUCCCCGAAAGCUAUUUAGGUAGCGCCUCGUGAAUUCAUCUCCGGGGGUAGAGCACUGUUUCGGCUAGGGGGCCAUCCCGGCUUACCAACCCGAUGCAAACUGCGAAUACCGGAGAAUGUUAUCACGGGAGACACACGGCGGGUGCUAACGUCCGUCGUGAAGAGGGAAACAACCCAGACCGCCAGCUAAGGUCCCAAAGUCAUGGUUAAGUGGGAAACGAUGUGGGAAGGCCCAGACAGCCAGGAUGUUGGCUUAGAAGCAGCCAUCAUUUAAAGAAAGCGUAAUAGCUCACUGGUCGAGUCGGCCUGCGCGGAAGAUGUAACGGGGCUAAACCAUGCACCGAAGCUGCGGCAGCGACGCUGAUGCGUUGUUGGGUAGGGGAGCGUUCUGUAAGCCUGCGAAGGUGGCCUGUGAGGGUUGCUGGAGGUAUCAGAAGUGCGAAUGCUGACAUAAGUAACGAUAAAGCGGGUGAAAAGCCCGCUCGCCGGAAGACCAAGGGUUCCUGUCCAACGUUAAUCGGGGCAGGGUGAGUCGACCCCUAAGGCGAGGCCGAAAGGCGUAGUCGAUGGGAAACGGGUUAAUAUUCCCGUACUUGGUGUUACUGCGAAGGGGGGACGGAGAAGGCUAUGUUGGCCGGGCGACGGUUGUCCCGGUUUAAGCGUGUAGGUGUGUGUUCCAGGUAAAUCCGGUUCACUUUAACACUGAGGCGUGAUGACGAGGCACUACGGUGCUGAAGCAACAAAUGCCCUGCUUCCAGGAAAAGCCUCUAAGCAUCAGGUAACAUCAAAUCGUACCCCAAACCGACACAGGUGGUCAGGUAGAGAAUACCAAGGCGCUUGAGAGAACUCGGGUGAAGGAACUAGGCAAAAUGGUGCCGUAACUUCGGGAGAAGGCACGCUGACACGUAGGUGAAGUGAUUUACUCAUGGAGCUGAAGUCAGUCGAAGAUACCAGCUGGCUGCAACUGUUUAUUAAAAACACAGCACUGUGCAAACACGAAAGUGGACGUAUACGGUGUGACGCCUGCCCGGUGCCGGAAGGUUAAUUGAUGGGGUCAGCGCAAGCGAAGCUCCUGAUCGAAGCCCCGGUAAACGGCGGCCGUAACUAUAACGGUCCUAAGGUAGCGAAAUUCCUUGUCGGGUAAGUUCCGACCUGCACGAAUGGCGUAAUGAUGGCCAGGCUGUCUCCACCCGAGACUCAGUGAAAUUGAACUCGCUGUGAAGAUGCAGUGUACCCGCGGCAAGACGGAAAGACCCCGUGAACCUUUACUAUAGCUUGACACUGAACAUUGAGCCUUGAUGUGUAGGAUAGGUGGGAGGCUUUGAAGUGUGGACGCCAGUCUGCAUGGAGCCGGCCUUGAAAUACCACCCUUUAAUGUUUGAUGUUCUAACGUGGACCCGUGAUCCGGGUUGCGGACAGUGUCUGGUGGGUAGUUUGACUGGGGCGGUCUCCUCCUAAAGAGUAACGGAGGAGCACGAAGGUUGGCUAAUCCUGGUCGGACAUCAGGAGGUUAGUGCAAUGGCAUAAGCCAGCUUGACUGCGAGCGUGACGGCGCGAGCAGGUGCGAAAGCAGGUCAUAGUGAUCCGGUGGUUCUGAAUGGAAGGGCCAUCGCUCAACGGAUAAAAGGUACUCCGGGGAUAACAGGCUGAUACCGCCCAAGAGUUCAUAUCGACGGCGGUGUUUGGCACCUCGAUGUCGGCUCAUCACAUCCUGGGGCUGAAGUAGGUCCCAAGGGUAUGGCUGUUCGCCAUUUAAAGUGGUACGCGAGCUGGGUUUAGAACGUCGUGAGACAGUUCGGUCCCUAUCUGCCGUGGGCGCUGGAGAACUGAGGGGGGCUGCUCCUAGUACGAGAGGACCGGAGUGGACGCAUCACUGGUGUUCGGGUUGUCAUGCCAAUGGCACUGCCCGGUAGCUAAAUGCGGAAGAGAUAAGUGCUGAAAGCAUCUAAGCACGAAACUUGCCCCGA